rnacentral:rRNA from 1 species
AUAGCGUAUAUUAAAGUUGUUGCAGUUAAAAAGCUCGUAGUUGGAUCUGCGGCCUGGGAGGCCGGUCCCCCACAGGGUGCGACUGGUUUUCCCGGGCCUACCUCGCCGGUUUUCCCGCGGUACCCUUCAUCGGGCGCCGCGGGUGGCCGGCAAGUUUACUUUGAAAAAAUUAGAGUGCUCAAAGCAGGCGCGUAGCCUGAAUAGUGGUGCAUGGAAUAAUAGAAUAGGACCUCGGUUCUAUUUUGUUGGUUUUCGGAGCGCGAGGUAAUGAUUAAGAGGGACAGACGGGGGCAUUCGUAUUGCUGCGUUAGAGGUGAAAUUCUUGGAUCGCAGCAAGACGGACAACUG